CUGAGCCUCUACUGCUUCCCUUCCCCAGCUGGGCAGGGAGAGCCUCAGCUUCUCCUUCACGGUGGAGCGGGACAUCCCCGUGCGGGGCCUGAAGCCAGCCCAGGUGAAGGUCUAUGACUACUACGAGACAGAUGAGUUUGCCACACAGGAAUACAGCGCUCCCUGCACCACAGUCAAGGCUGAACAAGGAAAUUCCUGAAGAAUGCAUCUUGUCGGAGCCUUGCUGUAUCAGCUCAUGUGUCUCUGCCCCUAGAAGAUCUUGUUAAGGGAGGGGUAUUUAAAUGUUAGAGGAGGACGCCUCAAAAGCAAAAAGGAAGGAACACUAUAAAUAAAUUAAUUCUUGAUACUCAU